rnacentral:rRNA from 1 species
GUUGAACGCUGGCGGCGUGCCUAACACAUGCAAGUCGAGCGGUAACACGAGGAGCUUUCCCCUUUUACUUUAGCGGCGGACGCGUGAGUAACAUGUGUAUAACCUACCUCUAAGGCUGGGAUAACUUCGUGAAACCGGAGCCAAUACCCGCUAAUAUAUUGAACCGCAUGGUUCAAUAGUGUAAGACGUCUUUGCUUUCGCUUAUAGCUGGUUCCGCGCCGGAUUAGCUAGUUGGUAAGGUAACGGCUUACCAAGGCAACGAUGCGUAGCCGACCUGAGAGGGUGAUCGGCCACACUGGAACUGAGACACGGUCCAGACUCCUACGGGAGGCAGCAGUGGGGAAUCUUGCGCAAUGGGCGAAAGCCUGACGGAGCCACGCCGCGUGAGUGAUGAAGGUCUUCGGGUCGUAAAGCACUGUUAGCAGGGAAGAACAGAUGUGUAUGUAACUAUUCGCGUAUUGACGGUACCUGAUCAGGAAGCCACGGCUAACUACGUG